rnacentral:lncRNA from 1 species
CAGACUUGGUGAUGGUGCUGGUGUUGUGUCUGAUUCUGCUGUGGAAUCAGGUGGUGCCGGGGGACUUUUGCGAACAAUUGUUGGUGCUGGAGCUGGUGCCUGAUGCCUCCUGUGCCUGUGCCUGUGCCUUCUAUGCUUAUGUGACGAUGGCGCCGGUGCUGGUACCUCUACUACCGGCGUUGGUGCCAAUGUUGGUGGUGGAGGAACAGGAGCUGGAGUUGGUGCUGGCUUUGUAGGUGCAGGAGCGGGUGCUGGUGUUGCCUUUGCUGGUGCAGGUGCAGGGGGUGUUUUGGCUGGUGUUGGAGCUAUCUUUGGUGGUGGCAAUGGCGGUGGCGUAGAAACGGGUGGUGGAGGUAUCGGGGGUGGCGAUGUGGGAGUUACAACUGGUGAUACUUUUGGUGGUUGUGGUUGUGGAGUUUGGGGUGGUGGGGCUUUUGGGCUUGAAGCAGGUGCAACUUUUGGAGCUGGUGGUGUCACAGGUGCGGGUUUGGGAGCUACAAUUGCAGGUGGCUGGGAUGUAGUUGGUGGUGUACUUGUGGUGGGAGGGGAUGCCACCACUGUUGGUGGUAGUGUUACCGCCAGUGGCGUGCCGGAAGAUGGUGAUGUUGCAGCUGGGGUUGUAGGUGGUGAGUUUGCCGGCGCAGUUGCAGGUGCUUGGGCAUUGGAAGGUAGCUGGCCACAGAGGCUUACCAAAGCCAAAGCCCAGAACACUGCAGCCAUUGUA